rnacentral:rRNA from 1 species
AAGGGAGCUUGCUCCCGGAUGUUAGCGGCGGACGGGUGAGUAACACGUGGGUAACCUGCCUGUAAGACUGGGAUAACUCCGGGAAACCGGAGCUAAUACCGGAUAGUUCCUUGAACCGCAUGGUUCAAGGAUGAAAGACGGUUUCGGCUGUCACUUACAGAUGGACCCGCGGCGCAUUAGCUAGUUGGUGGGGUAAUGGCUCACCAAGGCGACGAUGCGUAGCCGACCUGAGAGGGUGAUCGGCCACACUGGGACUGAGACACGGCCCAGACUCCUACGGGAGGCAGCAGUAGGGAAUCUUCCGCAAUGGACGAAAGUCUGACGGAGCAACGCCGCGUGAGUGAUGAAGGUUUUCGGAUCGUAAAGCUCUGUUGUUAGGGAAGAACAAGUGCGAGAGUAACUGCUCGCACCUUGACGGUACCUAACCAGAAAGCCACGGCUAACUACGUGCCAGCAGCCGCGGUAAUACGUAGGUGGCAAGCGUUGUCCGGAAUUAUUGGGCGUAAAGGGCUCGCAGGCGGUUUCUUAAGUCUGAUGUGAAAGCCCCCGGCUCAACCGGGGAGGGUCAUUGGAAACUGGGAAACUUGAGUGCAGAAGAGGAGAGUGGAAUUCCACGUGUAGCGGUGAAAUGCGUAGAGAUGUGGAGGAACACCAGUGGCGAAGGCGACUCUCUGGUCUGUAACUGACGCUGAGGAGCGAAAGCGUGGGGAGCGAACAGGAUUAGAUACCCUGGUAGUCCACGCCGUAAACGAUGAGUGCUAAGUGUUAGGGGGUUUCCGCCCCUUAGUGCUGCAGCUAAC